CAGCCGCCGCGGUAAUACGUAGGUGGCAAGCGUUGUCCGGAAUUAUUGGGCGUAAAGGGCUCGCAGGCGGUCUCUUAAGUCUGAUGUGAAAGCCCCCGGCUCAACCGGGGAGGGUCAUUGGAAACUGGGAAACUUGAGUGCAGAAGAGGAGAGUGGAAUUCCACGUGUAGCGGUGAAAUGCGUAGAGAUGUGGAGGAACACCAGUGGCGAAGGCGGCUUUUUGGCCUGUAACUGACACUGAGGCGCGAAAGCGUGGGGAGCAAACAGGAUUAGAUACCCGAGUAGUCCCUGUCUCUUAUAC
rnacentral:rRNA from 1 species